GACGAACGCUGGCGGCGUGCUUAACACAUGCAAGUCGAACGGAAAGGCCCUGCUUUUGUGGGGUGCUCGAGUGGCGAACGGGUGAGUAACACGUGAGUAACCUGCCCUUGACUUUGGGAUAACUUCAGGAAACUGGGGCUAAUACCGGAUAGGAGCUCCUGCUGCAUGGUGGGGGUUGGAAAGUUUCGGCGGUUGGGGAUGGACUCGCGGCUUAUCAGCUUGUUGGUGGGGUAGUGGCUUACCAAGGCUUUGACGGGUAGCCGGCCUGAGAGGGUGACCGGCAGAAUGGGGACGGAGAUGCGGCCGGGACUCCUGCGGGGGGCGGAAGGGGGGAUUUGGGAACAUGGGGCGGAAGCUGGAUGCAGCAACCCCGGGGGGGGGAGGAGGGCCGUCGGUUGGAAAGCCGGUUUCGCCGGUAAAGAAGGGUGAGGGAGGGAAAGGGGUAGAAAGGACCGGCAAAAUAAGGUC
rnacentral:rRNA from 1 species